UCAUCACGAUACGCUGUAGCUUUGCCCACACAAUGCCAAAGUGGGCUUUUGGAUGGCGGUAAGCUGUCGUAAAAAACAUCAAAAGCAAGCGUUUCAUGCGCCAUGAGACUUUGAUUGGUCGAUAUCGAUAUAUAGUGAUUUAUGGUUUUAUUUUAUUAGUGUUUAUUAAAUACUAAGAGUGAAAAGAAUUAGCAAAAUUAAGCUUUAAGGUUUAGUUGCUUUUGUCUCCAUGUUGUCCAAGGGUUAUGUCGGCCAUGAUCCUAAUAUUAUCAUGGGUUUAGCAGAGUUGUUUAACUUGCAAACUGGAUUGAAGAUUUUGAAUAAAUUUUUGUGUUCUUAAUAUGGUCACAAGUUUGUACUUGUUUAAAACCCUAAAUCAUUUGAAAAUUAUGGCGCCGACAUGGUAGAUGUCCUAGAAAAAACUGGUAGUAACUCAAUGUAGAUACACAUAGUCGAUGGAGUUACUUGCUAAUAACUGGCAAUGAGACAUAUUUGCUUCAAAUGAUGCCUUUAAAGUUUGAAAAGAUUUUUUUAAAUUCAAAUGUCGACAUUUUGUUACAUGAAAAAAGAUACUUAUUUCAACCCCUCGACUAUAUUGAUACACUUAGUAUGUGGAGUUACUUGUCAAUAGCUGGCGAUGAAACUUUUAAACGUAACGUCUUUAAGGGCUGAGAAAGUUAGUUUGUUUCGUUAUAAUAGCUCUAAACUGAAAUGUUUCAAUAUUUUGAUUGGAUACUGUUGUCUGCUUUUAGGUAAAAAUUAGAAAUCUGCAGACUGCAACGUAAAUCGAUUUCAACACGUUAUGGCUUCUCGAAUAUAUUUAGUUUCCGAUUGAAAUGAGAAUAAACUGAACUUAUAUAUAAAGUGUUUACAAUUAACUUUUUAAACUAGAAACACUCCAAAGGAGGUUCUCCAAACGCAAGUUAAGCAAAGUCGAUAGAUGUUAAUAUCUUUUAUAUUAUGUUUUAGAUAUAAAAAAAAAAAAAAUUGUGACUUUAAUAUUUAUGUUAUAAUUGUAAAUUGCAAUCUUAAAAGGAUUUUAUUAUUACUUCA
rnacentral:lncRNA from 1 species